rnacentral:lncRNA from 1 species
GUUUGCAGAAUCGCUACAAAAUUCAUGUUAAUUUCCAGCGAAUGAAUAAGGUCUGAUUUUUUGUAUGUAUUUCUAUUUCGUGUUGUCUAGGGUUAGCAAGGUGGACAUGACUAAUACUAUUGUAGAAAGCACCGCAAAUUUUGCCUUGAAUGAAACAUGGUCUUUGGGUGAGACUGUGAGCACCCAAAACAUUUUUGCUUGCU